CGGCCGCGUAGACUGGGCGUCGCCAUUUUGCACAGCGUUCCCAGUAGGCUCCGCGGCGCCGUGCGUGACCCCUCUUGACCUCUACGCGCUUGGCGUGCGGACAACGGGCAGCUGUGCGCGCACUUUCCGGGUCUUGGCCUCACGGUGACACUGGAUUCGAACCCCGUCGGGCCGGCAGCCGACAGCAGGUUAGGAUGCUAUAGGUUGUGCGCGCCCUUUGCGUGCUCGGGACCCGGCAGGAUUCAGGGGCCCCGUGUCCGCGGCUGCCACUUAUUUGUGAGUCGGUGUCUGCGUGUGGGCACCACGUGAGUGCCGCGUCCGUGGCGGCCAGGGGAAGGCGUUGGAUCCCGUGGGGCUGGAGUUAAGGAUUUUGGAUUGCAAAGGACUUUUGUUUUAACAAGUCUGUGAGAAUGAUGAUUCCUUUUGCCAGGCGGUGGUGACGCUCGCCUUUAAAUCCCGGCACUGGGGAGGUGGGGAGGCGGGGAGGCGGGGAGGCAGGCGGAUCUGAGUUUGAGGCCAGCCUGGUCUCCAGGACUGCCAGGGCUACACAGAGAAACUCUGUAGCAGAAAAACCAAAAUAAUAAAAUGGUUGCUUUUUACAACUCUUACAUGGACUGCUAGGUAGAUACUGUUUACUCGUUUGGAAUGAUCGCACAGUAGGGUGAACGUUGUAACAUUUACGUGUGACAUACACAACAUUUAAUAUUAGAGCAACUAUAUCACUUCUUUUUAUAGACCUCCAGUUGUGAUUUGUUGGACUUGAGUGUUUGACUUAACUGUUUACAAAACCGAAUCAAAAGAUGUGCUAUAUAUAGAUUCUUUGGUAUUUGCAAAUGAAUUCAAGACAUUUCUGCUAAUGGAAGCGGAAUCCAGCAGUCCUGUAGUUUAUAUGAUGUCUACUUUAGAGCAAGGUAUAUUUGCUGACAUUUUUUACCUCAGAUGUUUGGAAUUCUCCCUUGAUAGCCUACGUGGAUGCCUUUCUUCCGGAGUCACAUAGCUAAUUCAGGAGGGAAAUUCCAGGAAUGGGCCUGACCAAAAAGUCCAUCUUUUGGUCAGUAUUUAGUAUCUAAUAAAGCUUGCUUUAAAUU